AACGAACGCUGGCGGCGCGCCUAAUACAUGCAAGUCGAGCGAGAAGACGUAGCAAUACGUUUGUAAAGCGGCGAACGGGUGAGGAAUACAUGGGUAACCUACCCUCGAGUGGGGAAUAACUAGCCGAAAGGUUAGCUAAUACCGCGUACGCUCCUUGGACUUCGGCUCAGGGAGGAAAGCGAUACCGUGGGUAUCGCGCUCUUGGAUGGGCUCAUGUCCUAUCAGCUUGNGGUGAGGUAACGGCUCACCAAGGCUUCGACGGGUAGCUGGUCUGAGAGGACGAUCAGCCACACUGGCACUGCGACACGGGCCAGACUCCUACGGGAGGCAGCAGUAAGGAAUAUUGCGCAAUGGGCGAAAGCCUG
rnacentral:rRNA from 1 species